ACACACACAUCUCCAUCAUUCCAUCUUUUUCAUUGCUCGAAUUUCUUCCAAGUUUUCAUCUCAAUGUUAAUCGCGAUCUGAAUCCUUUUCUCGGACAAGCUAGUGCUGAUUUUGAUUGAAAUCUGAAUCGCGCUCUAAUCAUCAGGGUUUGAAGCCUUAUUCAAAUUGAAUAUAUGUUUGAUGAAGUGAAAAAAGCCUCUGCAUCUUGCAUUCCUUACAUCAAAGCAUUCUUGUUGAUACUGCUAUAACUCAGCAUAGUAUGGGUGAUGAAGCUACUAUAAUGGAAAUAAUUUCUUAGGUGAAUACAGAUAAUGAUGGAAGAAUAAACUAUGAGGAAUUCUUUGCAAUGAUGAGAAGUGGAACCCCACACCCAGGACAACUACACUAAAUCUCUUGAAUUCAGUCAAUUUCAUACCAUUGAUCUAUAUUUGUUGAAGUAUUGUUUGGUACGAAUUUAAAUUCGAGCUGUCACAUGUUAGUGUACUGAAGCCGAAAUUUUCAUGUUAAAGUAUCAGCUAUGAUGUCCUAUGAGGAUUUAUCAUUCUGUAUGUUGACUGAGGAAAGAGCAGCAAUGAGGUCUUGAAAUUCUUGAUGGAAAGAAAGUGUCAAUGCCCUUUAUGGUCAGGUUACAAUUGGAACACUAAUUCUGCAGGAUUGUGCUAUUAGUUUGCUCUUUGCAUUGCUUCCAGUAUUGAGUGGUCAGGUGUUCUUGAGGGAAUAACAUACAUGACUAAAUCGUGAGUAAAUUAUAGAAUUGAUUGUUAGUAUUUUAUAAAAAGUUAAUGACUAAAUUAAUUAUAGCUUUUUGGUAGCUGCCUCUAUUAUCUCUGCUAUAUUUGGCUAUUCUGAGUAUCUAUUUCUUUUCUUACUAUGUUCUAAUUAACCUGAGAUUGAAUUGUUUUAUUGAACAAAAUGAUUAGAAACUUAAUUAAAAUAAGCUUGAUUAUCAUACAUUGCACAAAUUAAAGUAGAACUGAUUUGAUGGUCCUGUACUUGUUUAUCUUUUAUCAGAAUCACUAGAUCUUGCUAUCUAGAAAAAGCACUUUAUGUGAAUGGACUAGUGAUUUUUUUUUCUUGACUUCUUGCAAUAACCAAUUAAUUAGAAGCCAAAAAGGAUAUAAAGUGGUGAAAAAGCAUUUUAUAUUUUGGUUGAAGUGUUAAUUAAAUAUAUUCUAUUAGACCAUCACAACCUAUCGUAUAUAUAACGUAAUGUUAGAAAAAGAGAAAAUUAUUCCAAAGACAAACAGAAUAUAAAAAAAUCAAGUAGAAUAUAGAUAGCAUAUAUAGGAGAUAUAUGAGCAUUUUUCUUGUAUGGUAAUCUUCUUCUAUUAUGUUCUACUGUGUAUUAUGUUCUAGAAUUUAGUACUUUGUUAAGUUCGAAGGUUGCAAUGGACGAUGGUUUAGUUACGUCUCACUUGCAAAUUUCACUCUAUCAGGUAUCAAUCUAUUAUCUAUUCAUCUAGACCUUUUCGUCUCAGUUUUUAACUUGGAUUAAUUUAAUUUUUUAAUUGUUGCUGUUCAUCAGUGAUGUUAAGAUUUUUGAGCUGGUUAAUUGUCGUUAGUAUUGCAAAGAUCAGCUAGUUCCAUGGAGGUGGAUGAACUUGUUUGCCCUAAGAUGAUGCUUCAAGUUUUGCAGAGACACGUCAAAUGCUAGGGAACAGUUUUGAAAUGGUGAGCCUAAUAUCUCCAACUACUAGUAGAGUUCUUUUGAUGUUGUACAUCUCUUAACUCUCUCUCUCUCUUUCUCUCUCUCUUACUUAUUAUUCUUCCCUUAUUUUUAGUUUCAAACAAAACAUAACCCACCAUUUAAAUCUUGCUUCUAUUACUUAUGUGUACUUAUCUCAUGAUUGAUUAAUUCAUCCCAAUCUUUCUUUUUUUUUGGGCUUAUUUAUUGCAACUUCCUCCAAAAUGGACCGACUAGUUUAAUUCUGGCAUUCAUCAGGUCACUCCUGCGGGAAGCUCAUUUUGCAGGAAGCUCAUUUUGAGUUUAUAGAUUUGUAGUAUUUUUUGUUGUUUAGAUUUGUAACAUCAUUUAUUACUUUUCAAAAAAAAAUUGUAUAUCAAUAUUUUGAGUUUAAUGA